rnacentral:rRNA from 1 species
UACGUAGGUGACAAGCGUUGUCCGGAUUUACUGGGCGUAAAGAGCGCGCAGGCGGUCGUUCAAGUCGAGUGUGAAAGCCCCCGGCUCAACUGGGGAGGGUCAUUCGAUACUGAUCGACUCGAAGGCAGGAGAGGGAAGUGGAAUUCCCGGUGUAGUGGUGAAAUGCGUAGAUAUCGGGAGGAACACCAGUGGCGAAGGCGACUUCCUGGCCUGUUCUUGACGCUGAGGCGCGAAAGCUAGGAGAGCAAACGGG